AAUGGGCGCAAGCCUGACCCAGCCACGCCGCGUGAAGGACGAAGGCCCUCUGGGUUGUAAACUUCUUUUGCAGGGGAAGAAAAGGCAGCAUGCGUGCUGCAAUUGCCGGUACUCUGCGAAUAAGCACCGGCUAACUACGUGACAGCAGCCGCGGUAAUACGUAGGGUGCAAGCGCUGUCCGGAUUUACUGGGUUUGAAGGGAGCGUAGGCGGCCCGAUAAGUCAGAGGUUAAAUAUACCAGCUUAACUGGUAACGUGCCGUUGAUACUGUCAGGCUUGAGUUCCGGAGAGGGUACUGGAAUUCGUGGUGUAGCGGUGAAAUGCAUAGAUACCACGAGGAACACCGAUUGCGAAGGCAGGUACCUGGCCGGCGACUGACGCUGAGGCUCGAAAGCGUGGGGAUCAAA
rnacentral:rRNA from 1 species